rnacentral:lncRNA from 1 species
GAACAAGAAUACUUGGACAGAAUUCAAAGAACACCAUCAGAUACCGAUACAGAACUGGAGAAAAAUAAAUUUGAUUUAAUUAAGUGUAGCAGAUCCCAGGAACUAUUUUAUGUUUAAUGAUUACUUUCAAGCUUAAUUUGCCUCUAUUUAAGUGUAACUAACACAUAAUCUUUAGGAUAAACAUCUCGGAAUUCUUUCUGAAUUAUCCCCAAAUUUUAAGUUUAGGUGUGCAUUUGACAAUCUGCAUUGCUGCCAACAGUAGUUGGAAGAUUACUACCUGAAAGCCGAGGAAGUUUGCUUCAGCUACAUGCCCUUCCUUGUGGUAAAUGUGCAAGUCAUGGCACAAUAAUUGAGGAAAUAAAUGUU